rnacentral:rRNA from 1 species
GAUGAACGCUAGCGGCAGGCCUAACACAUGCAAGUCGAGGGGCAGCAUUUCUAGCUUUCUAGAAGAUGGCGACCGGCGCACGGGUGCGUAACGCGUAUACAAUCUGCCUAUCACUGAGGGAUAGCCCGAAGAAAUUUGGAUUAAUACCUCAUAGUAUUAUUAGAUCACCUGGUUUAAUAAUUAAAGGUAACGGUGAUAGAUGAGUAUGCGUCCUAUUAGCUAGAUGGUAAGGUAACGGCUUACCAUGGCUACGAUAGGUAGGGGUCCUGAGAGGGAGAUCCCCCACACUGGUACUGAGACACGGACCAG